AGCAGAUAUACUACAGGGUGCCUGGGGCAUGUAGCAGCUAUGAGUGCUCAUGUUUCCAUCUUAAGGAAAGCAGUGCUGUGAGGAGAACGUCUAAUCUGUGGAGCAAACAGACAAUAGUAGUCUUGUAGAAAAUGAACAGAAAAAGCAGCUUUGUGUAAUUUGGUGAAUCUGAGUGCUUCCUUUGCUGUAUCUUUGCAGAGGAAGACUUGCUUUGUUAUAGCAUAGGUCCCACUGCAGGGCAAAGAGACAGUGAGCUGGGAGCUGUGGUUGCCUGGCUGGGGAGGGGAGGGAACAUGUCUGCUCUUUGUUGCUUGAAAAUUAAUCUGCUAGCAGAGUUAAUAGCAGUAGAGGAGUUGAGAAAGCAAAGUACCAACUGUUGUACUUCUGUAUCUUAAGAGAGCUUUAGCUGUGGUCUGAUACCUCAAGGAAUCAGCUCUGUUACAGUUCGAGAUGGAUGUAGGCAUUGCUGUUGAUAAGCACUUGCUUAUCAUCUCUUCUGCGAUUUGGUCGCUGGUUGGAGCAGUGGAAAUGCCACCCAAAUGGUCAGCUUGCAAGGCUGGAGCGCAGGAGUUACUACCUUGUUGCUCUUCUCAUGGCCAGUUGGGAAUGUGUUAAGCAGCAGAGGCUUGGUAGUAAAACUCAUAAGGGAAAACAGAAGAUUAAUUCUGCUCCUGGCUUUCUUCAACCCCAGUCUUCAAGUUUUAGCGUUAAAGCCAGGACCUACCUGGGACCUGACGCUGCAGACUCGGUUUUAUAUUACCCUUUGAAAAUAGAUGAAGUUUCUGUGGGGUCGGGUCACCGUGGUGCUGAAGGGCACAAAUGUAGUGCCGCCCUCACCAUAAAUAUCAGCAUGGCAAAGAUAUUGUACCUCCUUGACUAACAGCAUGGGGCUGGUUAUCAUCUUCAGCUGUUGAGUCAUUGUGUAAAUAACACGAGGUCACCAUCUGCAUCUCCAG
ensembl:lncRNA